GACGAACGCUGGCGGCGUGCUUAACACAUGCAAGUCGAACGGAAAGGCCCUGCUUGCCGGGUACUCGAGUGGCGAACGGGUGAGUAACACGUGGGUGAUCUGCCCUGCACUUCGGGAUAAGCCUGGGAAACUGGGUCUAAUACCGGAUAGGAGCCAUUUUUAGUGUGAUGGUUGGAAAGUUUUUUCGGUGUAGGAUGAGCUCGCGGCCUAUCAGCUUGUUGGUGGGGUAAUGGCCUACCAAGGCGGCGACGGGUAGCCGGCCUGAGAGGGUGGACGGCCACAUUGGGACUGAGAUACGGCCCAGACUCCUACGGGAGGCAGCAGUGGGGAAGAUUGCACAAGGGGCGCAAGCCUGAUGCAGCGACGCCGCGUGGGGGAGGACGGACUUCGGGUUGUAAACUCCUUUCGCUAGGGACGAAGCUUUUUGUGACGGUACCUAGAUAAGAAGCACCGGCUAACUACGUG
rnacentral:rRNA from 1 species